CUCUCUAUCAUGGCCUCUCAGUUUCGUCCUCUCUUGUUUCUUUCUUUUCUUUUUUUUUUCUUCUCCCAGAAAAAAUCUUCGACAUGAAAUCCUGUUUCUCUGGAAGUUCGUAAGAUUUGCAAAUUUCUUCUCAUUCUUCUGCAAUGGCGGCUGUUAAUUCCGUGUCAUUCUCAACGGUAAGUCAGUUUUCUGAUCGAAGGUCGCCGGUUCCGUCGGCUCGUUCACUCGCCUCGAAUUUCGACGGGUUUCGUUUCCGUUCUAGUGUUUUCUAUCAUCAUUCGGGAGUUCGAACCUCGAGUUUCAGUUCUCGCUUGGUCAUUCAUUGCAUGUCCGCCGGAACAGAUGUGACGACUGUAGCUGAGACUAAAUUGAACUUUCUAAAGGCGUAUAAACGACCUAUCCCCAGCAUAUACAACUCUGUUCUGCAAGAGUUGAUUGUGCAGCAGCAUUUGAUGAGGUAUAAGAGGACGUACCGUUAUGAUCCUGUUUUCGCCCUCGGUUUUGUUACUGUAUAUGAUCAGCUUAUGGAUGGGUACCCUAGCGAUGAGGAUCGGGAGGCCAUUUUCCAAGCCUACAUUAAGGCGUUGAAUGAGGAUCCAGAGCAAUAUAGAAUUGAUGCUCAAAAAUUGGAAGAGUGGGCUCGGUCUCAGUCUGCAGCUUCAUUGGUUGAAUUUGCAUCAAAAGAAGGAGAAGUUGAGAGUGUUUUGAAAGACAUUGCAGAACGAGCUGCGAGUAAGGGGAGUUUCAGUUACAGCCGAUUUUUUGCUAUUGGGCUAUUUCGACUCCUCGAAUUGGCAAAUGCUACUGAACCCAGUAUCUUGGAAAAGAGAAAUUGGAUCCUGAUGGAAGAGUGCUUAACCUUAUUCAGUUCGAUAGAAUUAGGUUCAAGCUCUGUGCCGCUUUAAAUGUUGACAAAAAAAGUGUGGACCGAGACCUUGAUGUAUACCGCAACCUGCUUUCGAAGUUGGUUCAGGCGAAGGAGCUCCUAAAGGAAUACGUUGAUAGAGAGAAGAAGAAAAGAGAUGAGAGGGCUGGAUCACAGACAGCUAACGAGGCCGUAACAAAAUGAAUGAUUGGGUGAAUACAGCAUAGAGAGUGGUUUUUGAGAGCUGAUGACAUCAAUUGGAGCACUCACCGCCUAAUUUGAGAUAAGACUUUAAAGAGUUAUAGCAAUAUUCUAAAUACCUGAUAGAUAUGCAUUUGUACUGUAUUGUUGGGUCUUCUGCAUUUGGUAAAUUUUGUAUUCUGCCAGCUUCUACUUUUAUUCUCAUUUGUAUUACAUAUUUUGAGUGCAAUUGUCUAUACAAAUGCUUUCGCACUCUGUGCAGUAAUCAUAUUUGUCUCUCUCUUGACCAC